GUGACCAACCUCAAGGUCACUAAAGGUCACUUGAACUUCAGUGAUCGUACGGAAGAGACAUGUUGCUCCUCCUCCUGCCACCCCGCCGGCUUUACCGCUUCCUCUGCCUCUUAAUACACAUAAAUAACGUGUGGUAACUGAGGAGUGCUGUGCCUGGCUGUGUCUGCUGCAACAUUGAUCAACACAGCAACCUUGACCAGUCUGAGGAGUGGAGGUAACCACACUAGUAAAUGGUCUUACCCAUAAUGCUUAGUGUUAUGUGGAGCUGCAGCAGCAGGAGACGUCGUCAGAGGUUGAUGGAACUGGAGGAGCUGGAGGUGUUGAUGGUGUGGUGGAUGGUAGAGGAGUGACUAGUGGCGCCACUAUUCUUGACCUCCUUGGAUAAAUGGCGCCAUUGACCUGGAGAAGGAUGGGGGUGAUGAUGUCAAU